rnacentral:rRNA from 1 species
GUCCACGCCGUAAACGGUGAGCACUAGGUGUAGCGGGUAUUGACCCCUGCUGUGCCGCAGCUAACGCAUUAAGUGCUCCGCCUGGGGAGUACGGUCGCAAGAUUAAAACUCAAAGGAAUUGACGGGGGCCCGCACAAGCGGUGGAGCAUGUGGUUUAAUUCGAUGCAACGCGCAGAACCUUACCUGGGCUUGAAAUCACCCGGACAGCCGUGGAAACACGGUCUCCUUCGGGCUGGGUGACAGGUGCUGCAUGGCUGUCGU